rnacentral:rRNA from 1 species
GACGAACGCUGGCGGCGUGCUUAACACAUGCAAGUCGAACGAUGAACCCGGAGCUUGCUCCGGUGGAUUAGUGGCGAACGGGUGAGUAACACGUGAGUAACCUGCCAUUGACUCUGGGCUAACUGCGGGAAACUGUAGCUAAUACCGGAUACGACCCUCGGCGGCAUCGCCAGGGGGUGGAAAGUUUUUUCGGCCAGGGAUGUGCUCGCGGCCUAUCAGCUUGAUGGUGAGGUAAUGGCUCACCAUGGCUUCGACGGGUAGCCGGCCUGAGAGGGUGACCGGUCACACUGGGACUGAGACACGGCCCAGACUCCUACGGGAGGCAGCAGUGGGGAAUAUUGGACAAUGGGCGGAAGCCUGAUCCAGCAACGCCGCGUGAGGGAUGACGGCCCUCGGGUUGUAAACCUCUUUCAGCAGGACGAAGCGCAAGUGACGGUACCUGCAGAAGAAGCACCGGCCAACUACGUGCCAGCAGCCGCCGUAA